UACAGAGGGUGCAAGCGUUGUCCGGAAUCAUUGGGCGUAAAGGGCGCGUAGGCGGCCCGGAAAGUAGGGGGUGAAAUCUCACGGCUCAACUGUGAGGCUGCCUUCUAGACUGCCAGGCUCGAGCACAGUAGAGGCUGGUGGAAUUCCCGGUGUAGCGGUGGAAUGCGUAGAGAUCGGGAAGAACAUCUGUGGCGAAGGCGGCCAGCUGGGCUGUUGCUGACGCUGAUGCGCGACAGCGUGGGGAGCAAACAGG
rnacentral:rRNA from 1 species